CAGAUUUCCGUCCCAUUCUCACCAACAAUAAAACAACUACCACAGCUGAGGGUAUGAAGACAAGGAUGGAAAGAAGAGCCACAGAGGAAAGCAUGGUGCCAAAACCUAAAGAGGGAAGAGAAAAGGCAAAAGAAAGGUAUUUGCUAUAUAGUACACAAGAUUUCUGGCCACCUGAAGUUAAAAUUUAUUAAGGUUGAUGGAGAAACUAUAACAAUAUUUAAAGAAAAAACCACCAGGUUCCAGAUGAUACCAUGAUGCCUACCUGACUUUCCUGGGCAGAUGACCCUACCAUGUGCCUUCCCAGAUCCCUGCCCCACUAGGGCUGGGAGUAUGGAUCAACCUGUCAAUGACCAUGUUCUGCAGAGAAGCAAUUACAGAAGCCAGACCUUCCACCUUCUGCAUCCCAUAAUGACCCUGAGUCCAUACUCCCAGAGAGAUAAAGAAUAGGAAAGCUAUCAAGGGAGGGGAUUGGAUAUGGACCUCUGGGGGUGAGCAUUGUGUGGAAAUGUACCCUUCUUAUCCUAUAGUCUUGUCAAUAUUUCCAUUUUAUAAA